rnacentral:misc_RNA from 1 species
UUUCCGUAGGUGAACCUGCGGAAGGAUCAUUAAAGAGUAAGGGUCUUCGGGCCCGAUCUUCAACCCUUUGUUUAACUACCAUGUUGCUUUGGCGGGCCCGUCUCACGACCGCCGGAAGUUUGGCUUCGACCAAACUUCUGGCCCGUGCCCGUCAGUGGCCCCUUCAAAUUCUUGAUCAAGUAUGAUGUCUUAGUUAAAAACUUAAUAGUUAAAACUUUCAACAACGGAUCUCUUGGUUCUG